GUGAUCGCCGACAUCGAAAAACCAAAGGGAAGAAGAGACCAAACAGGGGUCCCUUCUCCGACAAAAAUCGACGACACCCGUCGCCGGCAGUCGUGCACAGAGGCACGAGAAGAAGGAGAAAGAAGAGUGGAAGAGGAGGAAAACUUACUUCGGCCUCCGGUGACCCCAUCGGCGAGCAAUCGCGGCAAGCACGAAACAAGUAUCUGCGGCUACAAUCGGAGAAAUCAGGGAUGAAGAGAGGGGAAAAGGACCGAUGAAGGGCUUCUAAGGAAGGGGAGAGCCUUUUUAUAGAGAGCCCUAGGACUCCUGGUCAUCCUAGGACUCCCGAUCAUGAUGGUUUCAUCGGAGAA
rnacentral:lncRNA from 1 species